CAUCUUUUAGUUUUCUUAUCUGUUGUACCAAAUGGUUAACCGAGCAGUGGGUGACCUGUUUAUCAAAUGUUUCCAUAAUAGCAUUCUGCAAAGAAUCGAAAUUUUCGCGAAGGGUAACGUAUUGAUUAUUUCUUUCCUCAAUCUCACUUUUUAAAGAAGAGUUUGAUGACAAUAUACCUUCAAAUUCACGAAGUUUUUUAUUUAAUGAAUCUAAUUCGUCAUUGUGCCUUUCCUUCAAGUUGCUAAGAUAAUCGGCUAACGAUUCUUUACUCGUUGUAACGCUUUCCAUUUCAGUUUUUAACUGACUAAGUUGAUCAUUUAACGACUCAAUUUGCUCAUUGAGUAAAAGUUUGUUAUCGUUACUUUUCACCAGCUCGCUUUCUUUCAAAGCAAUUACUUGCUUGUUUUCUUCAUUUUCCUUCCUUAAAGAAUCAACUUCUGCUUCUGUCAUUUUCAACUGUUCAAGAAGAUUUGAUGUCUUUGAAGUUGAAUCUUCCUUCGCUUUAUUAUUUUCUUCUUCCAAAGUUUGCAGCCGCUUUUGUAAUUCGUCAAAUUCAUGGCAUUUAUCGUUAUAACGUUCUGACAAUUGGGUAAUUUCAUCAGUAAGCUUUUCAACCUCUUCUUUGAAUAAAGAGAUACUCUCCUCAUUUUCCCGUAUUGUUUUCUCGAAUUUCUCAAUUUCACGCUCUGCUUCAGUCCUAAGUUUACCUACUACUUCUUCGUAAUCAUCAGACUCUUUUGAAGACUUUGACAGCACCUCUUUGGUAUCCUGGAGUUCUUGGGUAAUCUCUUCGACAUAUUCCUGGAGUUGGUCAACAUCUUCCCGCCAUUGUUGCUCCAUUCUCAUCAAUUUAUUUUCAUAAUCCUCUUCAAUAUCUUGCAACUGUUUAUAUAAACGAGUAAGUUCAAUUGAUUGCUCUUGGGUUUUCAUUCUAGAUACCAUCAUAGAAUCCCACAAUUCAUUCUUGCUUGAUUCUGCCUCUACAAUCGCAUUCAUCUUCCCUGAAUUCAAAGCAACGGUAAGCUCCUCCACUUGUUUAACCAGGCGAUCAUUUUCCUGCUUGCGAAGUAGUAAUGCUUCAUUUUGCAUAGAUAUGUCCAUCCUCAACAGUUCAUUACUACGCUGAAGUGUUUCAAUAACACGCUCAUCAGUAUUUUUUGCAGGCAUAGGAACUUUUUUGGAUAACUGUACGCGAAGGGAUUCCAACUCUUGCAAUAGAGCUUCCUUUUCCCGCCGUUCGUUAUCAAGCAUAUUUGACAGUACAUUACGAUCUUCAUUGUAUGCCCCAACAGAAUAAUUCGUCUUCUUUGAUUUUUCUUUUCUCAAAGCCGCAAACGCUCUUUUGGUAGUUUCAAGCUCUGAAAGAGCCUGCGAAUACCUCGAUUGAAGAGUAAUUAGGUUUGAAGGGGCCGGGCUGGGGGUGGAAAGGUUAAAAGACUGAUCAGGCUUAAUCCGGCUUUCUAAUCCAGAUAUUUUUUUCUCAUAGCCUGCAACGGCUCGUUGAAGCUCCAUAGUAAGGGUCUUCAAAUCGAUGUUUUGCUUCAUAAUAUCUUGAACCUCCUGAUCGUGGAAUUUAUUUAAUUGAUCGUAUAGAAAGUAGCAUUUCAGUUUCAACCCAAACACUUCCUUUCUCAAAUUAUCAAUCACGUUUGCUUGUUCCUUUAAAGUUAAGGAGGAGCCGGGCUGAGAUUCCUCAAACUCUUUGGCAAGUGCAUUUUUCCUGUCUUUUAGGUCUUUCAUAGCAGACGCCGGUAUCAAUAUAUCGGAGAUCUUUUUGCUUAAAGCAUUGGUAGUGGGGGCAUCUUGAGAAUGUAAAUAAUUUCGUUCUUCUUUUAUUGGGGUUAAUUGCAAAUCAUCUUCAUCAUCCAAAUGAGGUAACUGAUCUAGAGAAGAAGAGAUAUAGUUCGGACUUGAAGGGUCCGAAGUAUAAUCGUAAUUAUUGUAACUAUCUUCUUCAUACUGCUCUUGGCUCUGAAACCCUUGAUUAGCCGUAAGUACGGGAGAAAGCUGUUCAUCAUCAGUAGUAAUGUUGUCAUUGAGACGAUCAAAAUUCGUAGUAUCCAAAAAAAAAGGUGCAACAGAACUAUUUCCCUCCUCGUCCUCGCUAUUCAAUUUAUUGACUGAUUCAUCGGGAGAUUGAAGCGGAGUAGAGCUCGUUGGAGCAGUAGCAUUUUGAUGGAGACGAGGUGAUCCAGAAUCAGAUUUUAAAGAAUCUCUAUCAAUUUCAAAAUCAUACUUAUGAGAAGCUUCUUCCGAAUCUUCGUCUUUUGAUGUAGAAGAGGGUAAUUGCCGAGAUCCUUCCUUUCUGGGUGAUAAAAUGCGACGAACUUCCUCGUCCGUCAGCGAAAGACCAGCUAAAUUAUCCACUAGAACAUUAAAGUUAUUACUAUCUAACUCACUGGAAUUUUCUUCCAUAAUUGAUUAGAAAACGAACUUCGACAUAAGCAAAUCCAAAGCAGUAGGCAUUGACUCUUGUAACAAUUUCAAAGGAGCGAUUUUUGAAUAAGAAAUUAAUUCUUUCUUAAAUUGUUAAUUGUUAAAAGAAAGUAUGGGAUCGAAGAUAUGCCUAUUGAUACGCUAUGGCAUAUAUGUAGUGGCAGUAGUUCUCAAUGGCUGUCUCUACUUGACGCAUGUUAGACUAACGAUCAACAAAGUAGUAGACUUGUAAUUGCGGACUUUACAAUUUUAGAAGGUUUAAUGUUUGUGUUAGAAGCAGAUAUUUUCAAAAGAAGUUAAUGAAAUUAAUUAUACAUUUGCACACACUCGUUUACAUUAUAAAUAGCCAUGUUAUUUGGCAUGCCUAUGGCACAUACACAAAACAAUAGUACAUACAUUGAUGAUAUGUAAAACGUAACUAUGAUUUUCAUUAGAUUAACUCUCCUCAAGUUAAGGUAUGUUAACCUCAUUUCACACUGUGAAUCCUAAGUAUAUUAAUUAUUGAUGGAAUAAACGUUAAAAACACUAAAGUCCGCUACGAUUAUGCUUGAGUACAUAGGUUUUCACGAACAAGCGUAAAUUUGCUUUCCUACGUAUAGUUGGUAUGUAGCCUGAAAUUAUUUGUUUCAGUCUCUAUUUUCACCGUGUUACAUGAUGCUACAUUUCGAUGAUUUCAAUCGCAACGGUAAAUUGAACUAUGAAUAUACGAACAAAUAUACUUUUCAUUAAGAGAACAUUUUUAAUUUGCAUAGUGUGUUCGAAACUUGAAUUGAGUGAAUGCGAAAAUAAAGUCCUCUACAACUCAUCAACUUGAGAUAUGUAGAGCAGCUGAAAAAAAAUAAUAAUAAAUAAAUAAGUAUAUG
rnacentral:lncRNA from 1 species